CUUCUAUAUCAGAGUUAGGCUAGUGUUAGUCUCAGUCUAUUACUGCAUCUACCUCUUGCUGCCACAUGGUGUCACCUUUAGAAACUGACCCUGCAUGAUGUGACAAUGGUGGCCUUCUGUAGUUUGAUACUCCCAAGGCAAGAUCUCAUUUGUUCUUUCUUUCUUUCUGCAAAAUUAAGUAUAAUCCCUUUCUCUCUAGACUAACUUCUAACAAAGGUGUCCCAUGUUUGGAUUCUUUAAAUCCCAUCUGUCAGUGUUGAAGUCUUUUAGAUUACGUACAUGUCUCCUCAUAUUCGUCCUUUUCUAUACCACCACCAGCCAAAUACCCAAGGAAGCAGCCGGCUCCAAGAGCAACAAAGUGAAAAAAAUGUGUGUUGACUUGCACUUCUAAUCAAGCCCAGAUUACACCAAUUUCUGGUGUCCUUCCAAUGUGAUGAUGUCAAGCUAAAUCACCUCUCAACAAAAAGCAUUUGAGCAUGGAAUACUUAGCAUUUGACUUCAUAGGAACAGCAGGUAAGUUUACACUUGUAUAAUAUUAAUUUUCAGAUCUCAAAAAAUCUCUUUGUGUCUAUAUCCUGUUUUGGUAGACUGGUCAUUUGUCAAUUGGGGCCUUUGGGUUUGCAAAUACAUCAUGUAGGCUCCCAACGUCUAAAAUGUCCAUCAUUUUAAAACCCUGGGAGGCAGAGUGAACAUCAUUCUAAAUUAUAACUUUAUUUCUCAGGGCAAAUAUUUAUUUUUAUUAUUUUUUAAAGAUUUAUUUAUUUAUUCAUGAGAGACACAGAAAGAGGGGCAGAGAUAUAGGCAGAGGGAGAAGCAGGCUCCCCACAGGAAGCCUGAUGAGGAACUUGAUCCCGGAUCACGGGAUCAUGCCCAGAGCUGAAGGCAGAUGCUCAACUGUUGAACCACCCAGGUGUCUCUGUUUAUUAUUAUUUUUAUGACAUACAUAAUUUAAACUUGUGAAAUGAAAUUACAGUUUCAGUAAAGAAGUUGAAAAUUGCUUAUGUUGACUGUCCUUCAGUGCUUACAAUUUUUUUUUAACUCUAAAGCUGUCUUUUAUCCUUGAAGCAAGUAACUUUUUGCCAUAUGUGAGUUUAACAACUAACAGGUAAUAUUGAACAACUCAAGUUCAAUCAGUUCAUAUUUUUUCUAGGCUCCUUAUGUCCUCUUCAAAGAUCAACAAAUAAUUUUGGAGAUCCAGUAUAGAAAUUUAUGUUUUACUAUUAUCUUUUCCUGUAUUCUCAUUCUCUAUAUGUUUCCAAAUUAGGGAAUAUUUUCUUGUCCCAUAUUUUGGAAAUAUAUUACAGCAGGCCCACAUUUAAACAUCCUUUUUUUUAAUGUCUAGCAAUAAGAGCCAUUUUGUAGACAAAUGUCUAAGAAAGGAACUUCUUUCAUUUCUGCAAAAUCAAAAUUUUAUUAAUUGCUUUUGCACAGGGGUGCCUGAAUAGCUCAGUCAGUUAAGCGUCUACCUUCAGCUCAGGUCACAAUCUCAGGGUCCUGGAGUAGAGCCUCCCAUCAGGAUCUGUGCUCAGUGGGGAGUCUGCUUUUGUCCCUCUGCUCCUCCCCCAGCUUGUGCAUGUGUGCUCUCUCUCUGUCAAAUAAGUAAAUAAAAUCUUUAAAAAAUUGCUUCUGCA
rnacentral:lncRNA from 12 species